UACAGAGGGGGCAAGCGUUGUUCGGAAUUACUGGGCGUAAAGGGCGCGUAGGCGGCCUGCUAAGUCGAACGUGAAAUCCCCGGGCUUAACCCGGGAACUGCGUCCGAUACUGGUGGGCUUGAAUCCGGGAGAGGGAUGUGGAAUUCCAGGUGUAGCGGUGAAAUGCGUAGAUAUCUGGAGGAACACCGGUGGCGAAGGCGGCAUCCUGGACCGGUAUUGACGCUGAGGCGGCGAAAGCUAGGGGAGCAA
rnacentral:rRNA from 1 species